rnacentral:lncRNA from 1 species
GAGGAGAGAACUUUUAAAUUACGACACCUAUAUUUACAAGAGAAAAAGUUCAACAACAAACUAUAAAAGAUCAAGCAUAAUAUUUUUCAAAGCUUGUAGUUUUGUGAGGGAGAGAGCAACCUUAUUUCUGUUAAAAAGAUAAUAUCAUCUUCGUUCAGAAAAAAAUAUAAUGUAAUUAAGGAGGCAGAAGGGAAAAUAAAUGGAAGAGGUCCUAGCUUUGUAAUAUAGAAGUAAGAUGCCGGGAAGGGAGAAGCUAUCUACUAGACGAGGAUAAGAAGAAAUAAUCGAUGAACAAUAUUUGCACCAAUUUUAAUUUGGGUAUACAUCAAGAGAAUGAUUGUCAUGCCCACGUAGGG